rnacentral:rRNA from 1 species
UGUGCCAGCAGCCGCGGUAAUACGUAGGGUCCAAGCGUUAAUCGGAAUUACUGGGCGUAAAGCGUGCGCAGGCGGUUGUGCAAGACCGAUGUGAAAUCCCCGAGCUUAACUUGGGAAUUGCAUUGGUGACUGCACGGCUAGAGUGUGUCAGAGGGGGGUAGAAUUCCACGUGUAGCAGUGAAAUGCGUAGAGAUGUGGAGGAAUACCGAUGGCGAAGGCAGCCCCCUGGGAUAACACUGACGCUCAUGCACGAAAGCGUGGGGAGCAAGCAGGACUAGAUACCCUGGUAGUCCACGCCCUAAACGAUGUCAACUAGUUGUUGGGGAUUCAUUUCCUUAGUAACGUAGCUAACGCGUGAAGUUGACCGCCUGGGGAGUACAGUCGCAAGAUUAAAACUCAAAGGAAUUGACGGGGACCCGCACAAGCGGUGGAUGAUGUGGAUUAAUUCGAUGCAACGCGAAAAACCUUACCUACCCUUGACAUGCCACUAACGAAGCAGAGAUGCAUUAGGUGCUCGA